GAUGAACGCUGGCGGCGUGCCUAAUACAUGCAAGUCGAGCGAACAGACGAGGAGCUUGCUCCUUUCACGUUAGCGGCGGACGGGUGAGUAACACGUGUAUAACCUACUUAUAAUUCUGGGAUCACUUCGGGAAACCGGAGCUAAUCCCGGAUAAUAUAUUGAACCGCAUGGUUCAAUAGUGAAAGACGGUUUUGCGGUCUCUAAUAGAUGGAUCCCCGCUGGAUUGGGUGGUUGGUAAGGUAACGGCUUACCAAGGGAAGGAUGCGUGGCCGAGGUGAGAGGGGGAUAGGCCACAUUGGAACUGAGACGCGGGCCAGACGCCUACGGAAGGCAGCAGUAGGGAAUCUGCCGCAAUGGGGGGAAGCAUGACGGAGCAACGCCGAGUGAGUGAUGAAGGCGUGCGGAGCGUAAAGCUCUGUUAUUGGGGAAGAACAAAUGUGGAAGGAGCUAUGGACGGCGUGACGGUACCUAAUCAGAAAGCCACGGCUAACUACGUG
rnacentral:rRNA from 1 species